rnacentral:tRNA from 1 species
GCCCGGGUACGCCAGCGGAAGAUCGGAUGCACUUGUAAUGCACGGAAUGCGUCGGUUCGAAAACGACCCCCGGGUA